rnacentral:rRNA from 1 species
UACGGAGGGUGCGAGCGUUGUCCGGAAUCAUUGGGCGUAAAGGGCGCGUAGGUGGCCCAGUAAGCGUGCGGUGAAAGCUCGGGGCUCAACCCCGAGUCGCCGUGCGAACUACUGGGCUGGAGCACUGUAGAGGCAGGCGGAAUUCCGGGUGUAGCGGUGGAAUGCGUAGAGAUCCGGAAGAACACCGGUGGCGAAGGCGGCCUGCUGG